GUAACAAGGUCUCCGUUGGUGACCAGCGGAGGGAUCAUU
rnacentral:rRNA from 1 species